rnacentral:lncRNA from 1 species
GUCCCCGGCGUCCGGGCGCCCUGCAUGGAUCCCCCACCCCAGCUCCUGCUCCCCGGCGGCGGCCGGUGGGCAGAAAGACCGAAACCCACUCACGGCCGCCUGCCGAAUCGCGGCUCUGCUGUUUGUGGGGCGUGCUAGAAACGUGGUCCUAAAAAGAAUGGCGUCCAUUUACAUAAUGCUUUGUUUGCGUUUCGCAAGUUUCUUUCGGUUAAAGCCACAGAAACCCCACCUCCUGCCCUUGUGUCGUUUCCACCGCGGCACCCUUUUCCGACAUUAGAAACAAUAGUGUACGCCUGUGGAGGCCUCGUUUGUUCAGGGGCUGCCGGCCAGGGCUUCAGGACGUUUCUGCGGCUUUCCCCGCGCGGCCUGGGCUCCCGCGGCUGCUUUUCGGGCCCAUGGGCGCAGCCACUGCGCCAGGCUCAAGGGGGGCGGCCCCGUCAGGGCCCGCCAUCUUGGAAGGCCUUUUUUGCCGGUUCUUCCCGCUGAGGAAGUGUCGCUCAAGACGCUGGCCUAUGAGUUGUGAUUUCUGCCUUUUCCCCUUCCUCCUUGGGCUAAGCCAGACCAGAAAGGGCCCCGUGCGCAACGUGCUUCACAAUCUCUCAGGGAAAGCGGCUAACGUGGCGCUACUCCGCCUCCCCUGUUCCUUACCCUUGGGGCGGCCGCCAUGUUUCCUGAACACAAAAUGGCGACACGUGGUUAGCAUUCGUCGCCAACGAGAAAUUGGGGUCGGCCCGAAAGCUCUAGAAUGCACCCCUCUUCCUCCCCGGGGCCUUCCACCUCCGCGAGUUUUAUGACUUAAAAAAGCCCACAGGCUGGUCUGAAGGUCGGAGGCCUAAUUUUAACGCGUUUUCCUCCCUUUAAUUUGAAACGGGAACGCGAAUGACUGUAAAAUGUGGGCACAAUAUUUAAUCUCUCGCCUUUUUAAAGCUUAAUAGUGGAUAAUAGGGGGGCAGUAUCAAGGGAUAAUUUGGGUCCCCACAGUACCAAAGCAUUUAGAAACCUCUGUUUAAUUUAAGGAAUGAGAUAAGUUACUGCUUUUCUAGACUUCCUAGCAUGGGCUGUUGUGCUGGAGAGAACGAGAGCUACGAAGAGACUACAGUGCCUCUGACUUUUUCAUAGGACAGUUGGCCGAGGAAGACAAACAUAAAGAUGAAGUGCUUAAUUCAAGGUCACACAAUGUCGGGGAUGGACCUCCAGAUUUCCUUACUGAGACGGAGUCUUGCUAUGUUGCCCAGGCUGGUCUUGAACUCCUCACCUCAAGCGAUCCUCCCGUCUUGGCCUCCCAAGUGUCAGGAUUACGGGCAUGUGCUAUCACACCCAACCUGAUACAUUGCCUUUAUAAAUUUUUUUUUCUUUAUUCUAAAAACCAGAAAAAACAAAACUGGAUACAUGUGCAGAACAUGCAGGUUUGUUACAUAGCUGUACGUGUGCCAUGGUGGUUUGCUGCACCUAUUGACCUAUCCUACCAAGUGUGUUGGGGACUUGAGAUGCGUACAUGAGUGUGAUGUUUCCUGCUGAAAGCACAGGGAGGAGGACCUGGUUGAUAGAAGAAUUUAUCUCGUAGUCUUAACAUCCACUGUAAUUCCAAACUUUGAGGACGAUAGAGAUCAGUGGGCUUUGACUGCCCAGCAUGCAGUCUCCAUUCUUAGGUGGGUUCCCAAGCCUGUAAAAUGUAAGCCUUAUGCUGCUGAGGGCCAUCUUGCCACCCUGAGGGAAACGCUGCCUGAGAAUGAAACAAGCAUAAGUAAAAGCUGAGCUGUGAGAUGGAGCAAGAUGAAGGCCACAUGACAUCUUUGGAGCACCUGGAUCUAACUGUGCCUUAAGCUAGUCUAACCCUGAACAUUUCAUCAUUUCAUUGACAUGAGCCCAGGUUUUCUUUUUUUUUGGAUGGAGUCUUGCUCUGUCGCCCAGGCUGGAGUGCAGUAGCUCAAUCUCGGCUCACUGCAAGCUCCACCUCCCGGGUUCACGCCAUUCUCCUGCCUUAGCCUCCCAAGUAGCUGGGACAACAGGCGCCCACCACCACUCCCAGCUAAUUUUUUGUAUUUUUAGUAGAGACGGGGUUUUACCAUGUUAGCCGGGAUGGUCUUGAUCUCCUGACCUCAUGAUCCGCCCGCCUCGGCCUCCCAAAGUGCUGGGAUUACAGGUGUGAGCCACUGCACCCAGCCCUCAGGUUUUCCCUUUUUUUACCCCUCCUUUUGAAAAUUUGAUGUGGAAUUUUGCCACCUGCAGCCAGAAGAGUUUUAACUAAUCAGUGCCAUAAAUUUUAUAUAGUUCUCCUUGCAAAAUGUGGAUCAGCCUUUCUCAGCAAAUCCUUUGUCAUAAAGUGCUGAAUUGUAAGUUUGUCAUGAGAAUCACAUGAGAUCAUGCAUGUGAAGAACCUGGCAUUAUCCUCCUCAUAGAAAAAAACCAGUAAAUAUUAACUACAGGAAGCAAGGAAGGAGUGGGGUGAGGGGAAGAAGAAGGGGUACUGAUUUAAAAGAACCCUGGAGUCCUAAGGAUAAUCUAGGAACCCUCAGACCCAAUCCGAUACCCCUAUUCUAAAUGCUCCUAGUGCCCUGUACCUUCCCCUCAUAAGCCUUCAUUAUCAUUGUAAUGAUAUGUUUAUGUAAUAUUUUGAUUAAUGUCUCUCCUUCACUGACCUAGCAGUUCUAGCAGGGCAGUGAUUUUGCUGUGUUGCAUCCCCAGCACCUAGUCUGGUAUGUGGCAUUCAGCAUAUGUUUAUUGAAUGAAUGGCCAUGUGGUUAUUCAGAUCCUCCUUGAUUAUUGGGGUUAGGAUUGUGGCAGAAGUGGCAAAAUCAGGGAGAGUAGUCCCUGUCCCCUCUGUAUCUUAUACACUGCCCACACUCCCAACACACAUACACAUACAGAGAAUUUUGUCUCAAUUAGAUAAUUAACUUCUGCUUGGUUGUAAACCAAACCACUGGUUCUUAAACUUUCAUUGGAUCAUUUUAUUGAAGAAUUAAAUAGUGUGGUUCUGGCCUAAUGUCUGGAAAGCCUUGCAGAGGAGUGGAUUAGGUCUUUGUGAUAAACAGGCAGCCUUCCCUGCUCCUGUGUCUUUAUAAAAUCUAUUUAACUGGAGUAGUCCACCCUCCCUCAGGCUCUUACAGGAAUAUGUUGGAGGCUGUAGGAAGGUGGGAAACCGAGAGGGAAAGGACUGGGCCGCUGGAGACUUCACUCAUUCCCUAGCAAGAAACAAAAGCAGUAAAAGGUGGCCCGAGGACAACCUGAAGCUCACUCCUUCAGCACUUUUGGCUGGAGGUCACUUGUUGGAGCCCCACUCAGAGCUCAGCACACCACCCCACCAGCAGCCUCCUCCUCCCAGCUGAGGCUGCAUUUCAUCCCUUCCCCCAGCCUGCUUUCCCUGAGAUAGGGGAGUGUUUCCCAGGGCCCAUGUGACUUCCACUGGCAAGUGACGAUUACCAAUGGUUUACUAGUCAGUGAAACUACCAAAGGCUUUUGUGCUGUAGUAAUCCUUUUCCUGUUUAAAACUCUGGGGAUUUUCUAAUGUUGCCAAUAGUUUUUCAAGUCAGCAAUUACUGUGUGGAUUAUGUAAUGGCUCGGUAUUAAAAAUAGAAAAGACUGGA